rnacentral:rRNA from 1 species
GACGAACGCUGGCGGCGUGCUUAACACAUGCAAGUCGAACGGAAAGGCCCUGCUUUUGGGGGGUGCUCGAGUGGCGAACGGGUGAGUAACACGUGAGUAACCUGCCCUUGACUGUGUGAUAACUUCAGGUAACUGGGGCUAAUACCGUAUAGGAGUUCCUGCUGCAUGGUGGGGGUAGGAUAGUUCCGGCGGUUGGGGAUGGACUCGCGGCUUAUCAGCUUGUUGGUGGGGUUGUGGCUUACAAGGGCUUUGACGGGUAGCCGGCCUGAGAGUGUGACCGGCCACAGUGGGACAGAGAUGGGGCCCAGACGCACACGGGGGGGAAGAGUGGAGAAUAUUGCACAAGGGGCGGAAGCGGGGUGGAGCAGCGCCGCGUGCGGGAUGACGGCCUUCGGGGUGUAAAGCGCUUUGGCCUGUGACGGAGCGUGAGGAACGGAACUGGAUAAGAAGGCACCGCUUAAUUAGGU